GAAGCACAACUACAUCCCGUUCCUGUUCAACCUCCUCAAGGCGCUGGCGGAGAAGAAGCAGCUGACGCCGCUCGUCGAGAAGGCCAGGCAGCAGAAGGCCCCCGCCGCCGCCGGCGCCGCCGGCGCCAGCACGAGCUGAACCUCCUCGUCAUCUUUUGAGGCUGCAUCAUGUUAUCAGACACUCCUACAUACAGUACCUAGUUGGCGGCUUAGAGAUGUUGCUGCUGCUGAGGCUAUAAACCAUUUUCUGCUGAAAUCUUGUUUUGCGUUGCGGUGUGCUGGAUUAUCGAUGUUAUUGCUGGUUAGAGCUGUAGAAGGGGUCUAUUUAAUCUUGAAUUAAAUGAGGGUGUGGUAGGUACUCUGUCUGAAGGAUAAUGGUGUUGCCUGGGUAUGGAUAACAGAGUAUGAUAUUCUCCCAACUCUUGCAUCUUUGCUGUAUCAAUGACAUGUGGGACCACGUGCCAUGGUGAUGUUAGCUAUGUGCCAGGAAGCUUGUAGUGUUAUACCUUCCCCAUUCCUGGGGUUGUGACUUGUGGUGUUAGCUUAA
rnacentral:lncRNA from 1 species